GGCAAUGUUACCAGGGUUUGGGGCAGAAGGAACAGAUAAAAGGGACAAUUCUAAGGAAGAUGAUUGAAAGACUGACCCCAAUGUGGAGAGGAUGAUUCCAGCACUACUCGUACUGCACUAGGGAUCAGACAACUUGAAAUCUGCCUUUGCUUUUAUUGGGCAAUCUGUUCCAGGGAUCACAGCCCCUACCUGUAACUGUCACCUCUUUUGAGGUACAAUUACAUUCUUUCCUCUCAUCCCAUUGCAAUGUUUCCAUGCUGAGAGGGCUCCAGAGAGAUGUAGGGAAGCUCUGCUAGUCUCUGUGCUGAAGCUCAGUGCCUGGCAUACCUCUGCCUUUGAUGAGGCUCUGGCACAGCCCUGCAUCAUUCUUCAUUUGCCUGCGCAUUAAAGAAUGCCCCUGGUGGUCAUCAGAG
rnacentral:lncRNA from 1 species